rnacentral:rRNA from 1 species
GCUUACGGCCAUACCAGCCUGGGUACGCCCGAUCUUGUCUGAUCUCGGAAGCUAAGCAGGGUCGGGCCUGGUUAGUACUUGGAUGGGAGACCGCCUGGGAAUACCAGGUGCUGUAAGCA